CUCAUUUUGGGAUCUUUCAAAUCUCAUACUUAGUUAUAUUUAAAUAUUGUCUUUGCAGUGGUGCAGUUCUAAGCAUAUUUCUGUGGAAAGAAGUCUUCUUGUGGUAAGCAGGACUUAUACACAACUGAACACAGCCACCACUAACCCAUAAUAUUCAGAGCUAGAGUGUUUAUUUCCCUAAGCUACUUGCCAGGCCUGUGUAUUCUGUCAAAAGUAAGUAUUUUUAGUGGUGUCAUUAUUAUUUCUAUACCAUUUCUGAUUUUAUACAUGUGCCAGACUGUAUAUAGGCAUUGUCAGAUCACUUGACCAGUUCAAAUGGUUGACUGAAGGAUGAAAACAUGGGAGAGGAUUUUCCAGUAAAGAGGAUCUUCCAUAGCUUCAGAAUUGUGUGUCCUUGAUUUUUCUGUAACAGAUUGAGAGAAAGCAUUUUGGGGACUCUUGUGCUUUUCAUGGCCUCACAUUGGCUUCAUAUUGAAAACACAGAGAAACAUUCUUCAAAGCAAAGUUCUUCCCUCUGAAUCUUUCUGGAGGCAUUGUUUUGACAAAUGAAAGGCAAAACAGAGAACAGAGCAUGGAUAGGGAUAUAAGAAGCUCCAUAGGCAUGUUUUUAUAAGGUUACUGUGGGAGGUAAUAUGAAUAUUGUAAAACUCUUUGCACAUUGUAAACUGCUACAGAAAUGUGUAUUAUGAAUGUAUAAGAAGGUAACAGACUUUUGUUUGUUUUUAAUUUCAUUUAAUAAUAAUAAUAAUAAUAAUAAAUCUGGAGUGUUGCUUUAUAUAAACUCAAUGCAUUUGUUCUCACAGUGCAACUGAAGUUCAAACUUUCUGUCAAGCAAGAAAAAGGAGAAGUCAUAGUAAAUACUGAGCCUUCAAACCUACAAGCUCGAGUAGCAUGAUACUGAAAUGUCACUGACAGCAGGAUAUAUGGGAACAAGAGGUAGUUCUCAGUGGGAUUUACCACUUCUUAUCAAGAGAAGAAAGGAGAACUGAAACUAUCCAUGUUGUGACACAACAGAUGGAGGAUUCAUGGAAUGCCUUAUUCACUCUAGGAGCAAUUUUAACUGUCCAGCAUUGACAGUCUCUUGAAUUUCAAUUCCUUUAAAGGGAAAUAGCAUUAUUUCUACUAUACUGCUUAUGAACCUAAAAAGGC